rnacentral:RNase_P_RNA from 1 species
CAAGAGGGGUAAAGGGCCGCAAUCGUCUGAAAAGAUGAUUGAGGAAAGUCCGGACUCCAUAGGGCCAGUCGCUCAACGAGACCCGGUGCACUUGUCGGUCAAGUUGAGAGGGAGUGAUCCCUGGGCAGGCCACAGAAACCAGACCGCCAACGGCUCUUCUCGAAGAGCGCGGGCAAGGGUGAAAGGGUGGGGUAAGAGCCCACCGCCAACUCGGGUGACCGGGUUGUGGCUGGCAAUCCUCCGGCGGGAGCAAGGCCAAAUAGGCAGGCGUGCGUAGGGACAGUUCACGAACUGCCCCUACCAACGGGCGGCCCGUCCAACGCUCGCAAGAGCGACGUCUGCGGGUAGGCCGCAUAGAUGGAUGGCCCUUACGGAAAUUUUUUCCGACAGAAUCCGGCUUACUCCCCUCUUCGUUU